AUUUGUUUCACUAUGACCAUUUCUCUGUCAAAUAUACUAUUCAUACUUUGCUAAGGAUCGAAUCAUUGAUUCAACAGAAAACUAUGAUGUGGGGUCAAAUUUGGUUUAAAUAUCUAAGCUUAUUGUAAGCAUGGAUCGAAGUUUUCAGUAUGUCAUUUCA